rnacentral:rRNA from 1 species
GCGCGAUACAGGGUGACAGCCCCGUACACAAAAGCGCAUGUGCUGUGAGCUCGAUGAGUAGGGCGGGACACGUGGUAUCCUGUCUGAAUAUGGGGGGACCAUCCUCCAAGGCUAAAUACUCCUGACUGACCGAUAGUGAACCAGUACCGUGAGGGAAAGGCGAAAAGAACCCCGGCGAGGGGAGUGAAAAAGAACCUGAAACCGUGUACGUACAAGCAGUGGGAGCACAGGUUUACCUGUGUGACUGCGUACCUUUUGUAUAAUGGGUCAGCGACUUAUAUUCUGUAGCAAGGUUAACCGUAUAGGGGAGCCGGAGGGAAACCGAGUCUUAAUUGGGCGUUAAGUUGCAGGGUAUAGACCCGAAACCCGGUGAUCUAGCCAUGGGCAGGUUGAAGGUUGGGUAACACUAACUGGAGGACCGAACCGACUAAUGUUGAAAAAUUAGCGGAUGACCUGUGGCUGGGGGUGAAAGGCCAAUCAAACCGGGAGAUAGCUGGUUCUCCCCGAAAGCUAUUUAGGUAGCGCCUCGUGAAUUCAUCUCCGGGGGUAGAGCACUGUUUCGGCUAGGGGGCCAUCCCGGCUUACCAACCCGAUGCAAACUGCGAAUACCGGAGAAUGUUAUCACGGGAGACACACGGCGGGUGCUAACGUCCGUCGUGAAGAGGGAAACAACCCAGACCGCCAGCUAAGGUCCCAAAGUCAUGGUUAAGUGGGAAACGAUGUGGGAAGGCCCAGACAGCCAGGAUGUUGGCUUAGAAGCAGCCAUCAUUUAAAGAAAGCGUAAUAGCUCACUGGUCGAGUCGGCCUGCGCGGAAGAUGUAACGGGGCUAAACCAUGCACCGAAGCUGCGGCAGCGAACGUAUCACCCAAGACAACUUUACGGAGUUGACGAUUGACGGAGCGAAGCGACGUCAAAGCGUUCAUUAAAGUCGAGUUGGCUUAGGGAUACGUUCGUUGGGUAGGGGAGCGUUCUGUAAGCCUGUGAAGGUGUGUCGUGAGGCAUGCUGGAGGUAUCAGAAGUGCGAAUGCUGACAUAAGUAACGAUAAAGCGGGUGAAAAGCCCGCUCGCCGGAAGACCAAGGGUUCCUGUCCAACGUUAAUCGGGGCAGGGUGAGUCGACCCCUAAGGCGAGGCCGAAAGGCGUAGUCGAUGGGAAACGGGUUAAUAUUCCCGUACUUGGUGUUACUGCGAAGGGGGGACGGAGAAGGCUAUGUUGGCCGGGCGACGGUUGUCCCGGUUUAAGCGUGUAGGUGUGUGUUCCAGGUAAAUCCGGUUCACUUUAACACUGAGGCGUGACGACGAGGCACUACGGUGCUGAAGCAACAAAUGCCCUGCUUCCAGGAAAAGCCUCUAAGCAUCAGGUAACAUCAAAUCGUACCCCAAACCGACACAGGUGGUCAGGUAGAGAAUACCAAGGCGCUUGAGAGAACUCGGGUGAAGGAACUAGGCAAAAUGGUGCCGUAACUUCGGGAGAAGGCACGCUGACACGUAGGUGAAGUGAUUUACUCAUGGAGCUGAAGUCAGUCGAAGAUACCAGCUGGCUGCAACUGUUUAUUAAAAACACAGCACUGUGCAAACACGAAAGUGGACGUAUACGGUGUGACGCCUGCCCGGUGCCGGAAGGUUAAUUGAUGGGGUCAGCGCAAGCGAAGCUCCUGAUCGAAGCCCCGGUAAACGGCGGCCGUAACUAUAACGGUCCUAAGGUAGCGAAAUUCCUUGUCGGGUAAGUUCCGACCUGCACGAAUGGCGUAAUGAUGGCCAGGCUGUCUCCACCCGAGACUCAGUGAAAUUGAACUCGCUGUGAAGAUGCAGUGUACCCGCGGCAAGACGGAAAGACCCCGUGAACCUUUACUAUAGCUUGACACUGAACAUUGAGCCUUGAUGUGUAGGAUAGGUGGGAGGCUUUGAAGUGUGGACGCCAGUCUGCAUGGAGCCGACCUUGAAAUACCACCCUUUAAUGUUUGAUGUUCUAACGUGGACCCGUAAUCCGGGUUGCGGACAGUGUCUGGUGGGUAGUUUGACUGGGGCGGUCUCCUCCUAAAGAGUAACGGAGGAGCACGAAGGUUGGCUAAUCCUGGUCGGACAUCAGGAGGUUAGUGCAAUGGCAUAAGCCAGCUUGACUGCGAGCGUGACGGCGCGAGCAGGUGCGAAAGCAGGUCAUAGUGAUCCGGUGGUUCUGAAUGGAAGGGCCAUCGCUCAACGGAUAAAAGGUACUCCGGGGAUAACAGGCUGAUACCGCCCAAGAGUUCAUAUCGACGGCGGUGUUUGGCACCUCGAUGUCGGCUCAUCACAUCCUGGGGCUGAAGUAGGUCCCAAGGGUAUGGCUGUUCGCCAUUUAAAGUGGUACGCGAGCUGGGUUUAGAACGUCGUGAGACAGUUCGGUCCCUAUCUGCCGUGGGCGCUGGAGAACUGAGGGGGGCUGCUCCUAGUACGAGAGGACCGGAGUGGACGCAUCACUGGUGUUCGGGUUGUCAUGCCAAUGGCACUGCCCGGUAGCUAAAUGCGGAAGAGAUAAGUGCUGAAAGCAUCUAAGCACGAAACUUGCCCCGAGAUGAGUUCUCCCUGAGACUUAGAGUCUCCUGAAGGAACGUUGAAGACGACGACGUUGAUAGGCCG